rnacentral:rRNA from 1 species
CGGAGGGUGCAAGCGUUGUUCGGAUUUAUUGGGCGUAAAGCGCGUGUAGGCGGUUUCUUAAGUCUGAUGUGAAAGCCCUGGGCUCAACCCAGGAAGUGCAUUGGAUACUGGGAGACUUGAAUACGGGAGAGGGUAGUGGAAUUCCUAGUGUAGGAGUGAAAUCCGUAGAUAUUAGGAGGAACACCGGUGGCGAAGGCGGCUACCUGGACCGAUAUUGACGCUGAGACGCGAAAGCGUGGGGAGCAAACAGGAUUAGAUACCCUGGUAGUCCACGCCGUAAACGAUGAGAACUAGGUGUUGCGGGUAUUGACCCCUGCAGUGCCGCAGCUAACGCAUUAAGUUCUCCGCCUGGGAAGUACGGUCGCAAGACUA